GUUUCCCCCAACCCUUGUGUAUUAUUACUUUGUUGCUUUGGCCGAGCUGCCUUCCGGCCUUGAACGCUCGACAGAGAAUACCAAAACUCUUUUUAUUAAUGUCGUCUGAGUACUAUAUAAUAGUUAAAACUUUCAACAACGGAUCUCUUGGUUCUGGCAUCGAUAAAAAACACAGCGAAAUGCGAUAAGUAAUGUGAAUUGCAGAAUUCAGUGAAUCAUCGAAUCUUUGAACGCACAUUGCGCCCCUUGGUAUUCCGGGGGGCAUGCCUGUUCCAGCGUCAUUUCAACCCUCAAGCUUACCUGGGUAUUGAGUCUAUGUCAGUAAUGGCAGGCUCUAAAAUCAGUGGCGGCGCCCCUGGGUCCUGAACGUAGUAAUAUCUCUCGUUACAGGUUCUCGGUGUGCUUCUGCCAAAACCCAAAUUUUUCUAUGGUUGACCUCGGAUCAGGUAGGGAUACCCGCUGAACUUAAGCAUAUCAAGAAGCGGAGGAA
rnacentral:rRNA from 1 species